rnacentral:rRNA from 1 species
UACGUAGGGUGCAAGCGUUAUCCGGAAUUAUUGGGCGUAAGGAGCUCGUAGGCGGUUUGUCGCGUCUGCUGUGAAAACUGGAGGCUCAACCUCCAGCCUGCAGUGGGUACGGGCAGACUAGAGUGCGGUAGGGGGGAUUGGAAUUCCUGGUGUAGCGGUGGAAUGCGCAGAUAUCAGGAGGAACACCGAUGGCGAAGGCAGAUCUCUGGGCCGUAACUGACGCUGAGGAGCGAAAGCAUGGGGAGCGAACAGG